UACGAAGGGGGCUAGCGUUGUUCGGAAUUACUGGGCGUAAAGGGCGCGUAGGCUGUGCUGUAAGUCAGGCGUGAAAUCCCCGGGCUCAACCUGGGAAUUGCGUUUGAUACUGCGGCGCUUGAAUGCAGGAGAGGAUGGCGGAAUUCCCAGUGUAGAGGUGAAAUUCGUAGAUAUUGGGAAGAACACCGGUGGCGAAGGCGGCCAUCUGGCCUGUUAUUGACGCUGAGGCGCGAAAGCGUGGGGAGCAAACAGG
rnacentral:rRNA from 1 species